UACGAAGGGGGCUAGCGUUGUUCGGAAUUACUGGGCGUAAAGGGCUCGUAGGCGGCCAACUAAGUCAUACGUGAAAUCCCUCGGCUUAACCGGGGAACUGCGUCUGAUACUGGAUGGCUUGAGAUUGGGAGAGGGAUGCGGAAUUCCAGGUGUAGCGGUGAAAUGCGUAGAUAUCAGGAGGAACACCAAUUGCGAAGGCAGCUCGCUGGGACGUUACUGACGCUGAGACGCGAAAGCGUGGGGAGCAAACAGG
rnacentral:rRNA from 1 species